rfam:Medicago truncatula strain A17 chromosome 2, whole genome shotgun sequence.
UGGCUAUGAUUAUAUUUUAUCCGCGCUUCUGAGUUUUUUGUAUGAAGUAUAUUGGAAUAAUGGUUGAAUUUCUUAAUAUGAGCCA